GGGGGUUGGUGAAGCUGCAAGGCACCAGGCCUGAGGCCUUGGGGUCUCCACACAGGUGGCCUCCGGGAGAGCCUUGGAAUAAGCUGGUCUGCUCCCGGGUCUUCCUGGCAGGCAGUGACCUCCCAACUGCAGGCCCAAGGGCUUCCCAGGGGAGCCAGGCCUGGAACGGGGCUCCUCUUUCCACCCUCUGUGGCUGGUCCCUGCCUCGCCCAACUCCCUGGGAGGCCUGCUUUGUGGAUGCUGCAUUUCCCAGGGCAAAGCUCCGUUCCGCCACACCUCCCUGCCUUUGUACAGGCUGUUCCCACUGCCCUUCCUGCAUUCUUCAUCCAGCCUGUUCUAGAAACUGUCCUUCAAAACUCAGCUCAAGCACAUCUCCUGUGGGAAGCCUGCCCCGGAGCUCUCCUAAGCUGCAGCUGUCCAUUCUGUGAGCUCCCACAGUCUCUAAACUGCUCCUGUUGAGUGACUCACCCGGCUAUGAGUGCCGAACCUGUAGAGCGGGGGGUCCAGGAGAUGGGAAGCCGCCCUGGCGGGGGUGGGGUGGUGGUGGCAAGAGUCAGCCUUGGGCGGUGGGACAGGCAUCUGAGUGGCCCUGGUCUCUGGCCCUCCCUCCAGGGCAAGGCCUUGCUGGUCUCUAAGGCCCCACCCACCACGUUCCUUCUCUGUCCUAUGCCCCAGCCUUUGGUCUGCUCUUCUGCACCCCGGGACAGGGUUGGGGGCCAGAGGAGCCUCGAGUGCAGGGUCACCCCUUGCUCUUGCAGGCUGCUGGGCAUGACCCUCCUGCCAUAGGAACUCGCCUGCAGAAGCUGUGGCCUACUCCCCUGUGUCCCCAGCAUUGCCCUGCCCAGGGUCGGCCCUGGAGCAGGAAGGAGCUGUCCUCAUUGCUGACUGACCCCUGGCCUGGCGCUGGACAACUCGUGGGCUGCUCAGCCCCAGAAUAACACACGUAUGACCCUGAUAAUAAGAUGUGGCCUUCCACCUUGACCUGUGGCCCCUGCUCCACGACAGCCAAUCAUCAUCAGUGCUUACUUGGGGCAAAACACUGCACUUGACAUCCAGUUUCUUGCUGAUGAUCUGCAAGUAUGUAUCUACAGGCCAGACCUUUCCUGUGAACCUCCAGACCCCCACAUCUGCUGCCUCCAACAUCUCCACGUGAAGUCCACCAGGCAGCUGAGACUUCCCAUGUCCCACGUUGAGCGUGAGCUGCUCCUCUCACAGCCUUCCCCCUCUUAGAACAUAGUAGCCCCAUUCUUCCUGUUGCUCUGAUCUUGGAGUCCACCUUGACGCUCUCCUUUGUCUCAUACUUCAUAUCUGUCCAUCAACAAAUCUUGUUGGCUCCACCCUCAAAAUACACCUAGAAUCUAACCACUUCUCCCACCUCCAGCAUCACCACCCUGGCCUGAGCCACCCUCCCUGAUCUCUCAGCUUCUGCCCUUGCUCCUUGAUCUCCACCCAGCAGCCAGAGUGACUUUUGCAAAGUACUGAUCAGAUCAUAUAACUCCACCCACUUAAAACCCUUCUCCAGAU